AUACUUACCUGGCAAGGGAGAUACCGUGAUCAAGAAGGCGGUUCACCCAGGGCGAGGCUCAGCCAUUGCACUCCGGCUGUGCUGACCCCUGCGAAUUUCCCAAAUGUGGAAAUCUCGAUUGCAUAAUUUAUGGUAGUGGGGGACUGCGUUCGCGCUC
rnacentral:snRNA from 8 species